rnacentral:misc_RNA from 1 species
GGAAUUCAGAAUCUAAGCUGGUUCAGCAAAUUAUCUACUCCGUCCACAAUCUGCAACCAAUGAAAAUUUAUUAUAGCUUUUCAAAACAUGGUCCAUGCUGCACCUAAAGUGAAUCAACUAAGUUAAUUGUUUAUUAAGAUAAGCUGACUAAAUAUUGAGGUUUUGGAGCCCAUUCCACCUUAGGUCAUUUUGUUAUGGGUGUUUAGCUUAUUGCAUAAGAUAUUACCAGAGGAUAGGCUAUGAUGCUGCAAGGUCUAUGAAGCACCCAUGCACAUCCAUUCAAUUAAUUCCACUCCCUCUACUUCUUUUCAGUUAAAGAAGCAUAAAAGAAAAAAUAAUCAUCAGACUGUACCCAUACUCUUAUUGGUAAAAACCACUUCAUUAAUUAUUAAGACUGUACGUGUAUCCUACGCAGAUGCUGUAGAUAACUUCGACUCAGUUGUACUUAUAGAUCUAUCUGAGAAGGCUAAAAGCUCGAGUCAUCUUCAUGGGAUGUCCAACUAUGUUCUGAACUUUUCUUAGUAGUUUUGUCUGUCUGUAGCUUAAGUGCAUGAUUGACCAUUGUCCUUGAAGUGAAAAGUCA